AACGUAGGACACAAGCGUUAUCCGGAGUUACUGGGCGUAAAGCGCGUGUAGGCGGUUCGGUAAGUCCGCUGUGAAAGUCGAGGGCUCAACCCUCGAAAGCCGGUGGAUACUGUCGGGCUAGAGUGCGGAAGAGGCGAGUGGAAUUCCUGGUGUAGCGGUGAAAUGCGCAGAUAUCAGGAGGAACACCAAUUGCGAAGGCAGCUCGCUGGGACGUUACUGACGCUGAGACGCGAAAGCGUGGGGAGCAAACAGG
rnacentral:rRNA from 1 species